rnacentral:lncRNA from 1 species
CAUUCUUCUAAACUGGCACAAAGAAUACAGCCAUGCACCUGCCUCGCAAGUCCUGAGUUCAAUCUCUGGUACCAAAAAGCCCCCCAAUUUCCUGCAAUUAUGGCAAAUUAAAACUAGCCCAGCUACAGAAUAACUCCAGUUUGGCCUCCGGUCACAACCGAGACUUCAGUGAUCCAGUGAUGCUGUGAUUCUCCAGGACAAGAAACAUCCUGGGAGAACAAACAUCUGCUCAGUUCCUCGUUGUUCUUGGACUGAUUAACAUCUUGUUUGCCGGAGAUGUACUGAACUCUCUGCAAG